ACUCCUACGGGAGGCAGCAGUGGGGAAUAUUGCACAAUGGGCGCAAGCCUGAUGCAGCAACGCCGUGUGAGUGAAGAAGGUUUUCGGAUCGUAAAACUCUGUCCUAAGGGAAGAAACAAAUGACGGUACCUUAGGAGGAAGCCCCGGCUAACUACGUGCCAGCAGCCGCGGUAAUACGUAGGGGGCAAGCGUUAUCCGGAAUCACUGGGCGUAAAGGGUGCGUAGGCGGCUUAGCAAGCCAGGGGUGAAAGGCAUUGGCUCAACCAAUGUAAGCCUUUGGAACUGUUAAGCUUGAGGUGCAGGAGAGGUAAGUGGAAUUCCUAGUGUAGAGGUGAAAUUCGUAGAUAUUAGGAGGAACACCAGUGGCGAAGGCGACUUACUGGACUGUAACUGACGCUGAUGCACGAAAGCGUGGGUAGCGAACAGGAUUAGAUACCCUGGUAGCACAGAG
rnacentral:rRNA from 1 species